UACUAUGGAACAGUUUUGCGCCGAGUA
rnacentral:sRNA from 1 species